rnacentral:misc_RNA from 2 species
AACGCACAUUGCGCCCUAUAGAAUUCUGUGGGGCAUGCCUGUCUGAGCAUCAUAAUAUCUACUCAGAUCUUUGAUUAUUUUAUAUAGUCUUGGAUUUGGAUUUAAUCAGAGAAGUAACCUAUAUGAGUAGAUUACUCUUUGGAAAAAUAGAGGCAGUUAUAGUGAAACCUGUAUUAAACGUGAUAUUAAAAAGUUUCGUUUUUAAGGACUACAUCUUUGACUUGCCUUUAACCCACUUAAUUCUUUUUGAUUGACCUCAGAUCAGGUAGGGAUACCCGCUGAACUUAA